GGGAACGAGAGGGGAAUCACAGCUGGGCGAUAUUUUUUUAACCUAAUCCCAUGAAUUAAAACGAAGAAAAGCAACCGCAGGGCACAGGAGCGGUGCUGGUGUGGCUGGGGCAGGGCAUGGCGCUGGCAAAUCCCUUGGCCCCCAGCUCUCCCCAAGCCCGGAGCGGGGCCGUGCCCACAGCAGUGGGGCUGGGGACAGGGACACGUCCCUGGGGGACAGAGCGGGCUGGGCGCUGGGUGCCUCCGUGGGGCUGGGUCCCACACGGACCCCCCUGGCCCCGCACCCAGCUCCACGCAGGCACCUCCCGGCCGGGAGCUCCUCUCCCCCCGCAGCAGCCGCUGCUGCGCGAAGCCAUCUUGAGCCAGCAGCAGAGCGGCGAAAGGGUUACGGCCCCCAUCGCUCUGUCCCCGCCGUCCGCCUCCAGGUCGGGGACAAACAAGAGCCAGGCGGCUGCGAGCGAGCGAUGGAUGGAGGUGCGUGGAAGCCCGGCAGCGAGGCUGAGCAACGCGGGGCGGUGCAGGCUUGCAUCGACAUCCCCGCACCAGGGAGGGGCCGAAAUCCUGCAGGGAGCCGGGGUACCCCGGAGAGCCCCGGUUCUGUGCACUGCCCCGGGCCCAUUGCAACCGGUGGGAGAGCGGCCGGACGGAGCUGCCCCGCCGGCCCCUGCUAUCCCUGCCCGGGUGCCGGCAGGCACGUGCCAACCUGCUGCCGAUCGCAGCCUAAAAUUACCACGGUGCCGCUGCCAAUCAGGGCGGCGAGGGAGGCGUGCGGGCUGCUGCUCGGCAGCUCCUCUGCAUUGCAGCUGGAGGUGCGCGAGGGGGGAUUCUCCAGCGGGAGAGCGCACCCUGGGGCGCAGCGGGGCAGGGGUGCGGCGGGGCCCGGUGCUCACGGCCCCAGGAGGAUGCAGCCCCCGCAGGGUCUCAGCGCAUCACGUGCAGACCGCACGUUGGCAUUGGCUGCUCCGGCGGGGCGGAUGCGAGCGAGGUCCUGGGGUCCGGCCGGGCUGGCGAAGGCACCAGCAGGCACUCGCCCACGCUACGCACGUGCCCGCGCGCUUCCCCGCCUCUCCUGCCCAUGGACCUGCCCCAGGCUGGGGGGGGGGGUCAUAAGCACGCGGCCCCCAACGUGCAACAAAAGCUCGCCGUGCACUGAGGAUGCCUCGUGCUGGACCACUUGGUGUGGCCCCAGGCCCGCCCACCCCGGGGGGGCACAGCAGCAUUGAAUGCUCAGAUCUGGGCCGAGCCAGAAGGAUGGCGC
rnacentral:lncRNA from 1 species